rnacentral:rRNA from 1 species
UGGGGAAUAUUGGACAAUGGGGGGAACCCUGAUCCAGCCAUGCCGCGUGUGUGAAGAAGGCCUUAUGGUUGUAAAGCACUUUAAGCGAGGAGGAGGCUCUCUUGGUUAAUACCCAAGAAGAGUGGACGUUACUCGCAGAAUAAGCACCGGCUAACUCUGUGCCAGCAGCCGCGGUAAUACAGAGGGUGCGAGCGUUAAUCGGAUUUACUGGGCGUAAAGCGUGCGUAGGCGGCUUUUUAAGUCGGAUAUGAAAUCCCCGAGCUUAACUUGGGAAUUGCAUUCGAUACUGAGAAGCUAGAGUAUGGGAGAGGAUGGUAGAAUUCCAGGUGUAGCGGUGAAAUGCGUAGAGAUCUGGAGGAAUACCGAUGGCGAAGGCAGCCAUCUGGCCUAAUACUGACGCUGAUGUACGAAAGCAUGGGGAGCAAACAGG